rnacentral:lncRNA from 1 species
UGGUGGUGUUUGACGUUGGGCAGGCAUGCUAGCGUGCGGGAGACUCUGGUGACCAUUGACCUGAUGGAACCCAACGACAGGAGGCAUAUGGCAGUACGGGGCCACCGAUCCAGCCGAUUUGAUGUCGGAGAUGCAUGCGGAUGCGAGGAGAGGAGUCGGAGACACCGAAGCCGCUGAUCCAGUAGAGUCCGACAUUGGGAGGCCUCAGUAUAGCGGGGUCUGGCGCCAAGAACACAUGCAGUGGAGGGAGCUGACUCUCCCUUCUCUCUCUUUAGGUGGUGCAUGAGGGCUCGGAAGAGCACCAAUCUGUCGGGGUUGAUGUCGGUCGGUGCGUGGGAGCUCGAUAAAUCCCCGAUCUACUGAGGUUG